rnacentral:rRNA from 1 species
UGGCGUAAACAAAGGGAAGCGAGACGGUGACGUUAAGCAAAUCCCAGAAAUAACGUCCCAGUUCCGGAUUGUAGUCUGCAACCCGACUACAUGAAGCUGGAAUCGCUAGUAAUCGCGAAUCAGAAUGUCGCGGUGAAUACGUUCCCGGGUCUUGUACACACCGCCCGUCACACCAUGGGAGUCGGAAAUGCCCGAAGUCAGUGACCCAACCGUAAGGAGGGAGCUGCCGAAGGUGGAGCCGGUAACUGGGGUGAAGUCGUAACAAGGUACC